AGGUAGCGAAAUUCCUUGUCGGGUAAGUUCCGACCUGCACGAAUGGCGUAACGACGGCCACACUGUCUCCACCCGAGACUCAGUGAAAUUGAAAUCGCUGUUAAGAUGCAGUGUAUCCGCGGCUAGACGGAAAGACCCCGUGAACCUUUACUAUAGCUUCACAGUGAACUUUGAACCUAUUUGUGUAGGAUAGGUGGGAGGCUUUGAAACUGGGACGCUAGUCUCAGUGGAGCCAAACUUGAAAUACCACCCUGGUAUGUUUGAGGUUCUAACUCAGGUCCGUAAUCCGGAUCGAGGACACUGUGUGGUGGGUAGUUUGACUGGGGCGGUCUCCUCCCAAAGAGUAACGGAGGAGCACGAAGGUAUGCUAAUCAUGGUCGGAAAUCAUGAGGUUAGUGCAAUGGCAUAAGCAUGCUUAACUGCGAGACAGACACGUCGAGCAGAUACGAAAGUAGGUCAUAGUGAUCCGGUGGUUCUGAAUGGAAGGGCCAUCGCUCAACGGAUAAAAGGUACUCCGGGGAUAACAGGCUGAUACCGCCCAAGAGUUCAUAUCGACGGCGGUGUUUGGCACCUCGAUGUCGGCUCAUCACAUCCUGGGGCUGGAGCAGGUCCCAAGGGUAUGGCUGUUCGCCAUUUAAAGUGGUACGCGAGCUGGGUUUAGAACGUCGUGAGACAGUUCGGUCCCUAUCUGCCGUGGACGUUUGAGAUUUGAGAAGAGUUGCUCCUAGUACGAGAGGACCGGAGUGAACGAACCUCUGGUGUUCCGGUUGUCACGCCAGUGGCAUUGCCGGGUAGCUACGUUCGGACAGGAUAACCGCUGAAAGCAUCUAAGCGGGAAGCCCCCUUCAAGAUGAGAUCUCACAGGACUUUAAGUCCCUAAAGAGCCGUUCAAGACUAGGACGUUGAUAGGUUGGGUGUGUAAGCACGGUAACGUGUUGAGCUAACCAAUACUAAUUGCUCGUGAGGCUUGACCAU
rnacentral:rRNA from 1 species